rnacentral:misc_RNA from 1 species
GGAGACUUUAGUAGCUGGUUCAAAAGUCAUCUUUAUUUUUGCAAUUUAAUUUGAUUAUUGGGUCAAUAACAUAUACAAAAAAGACAUAAUCUACUUCACCAAAUGGUCAGUAUCCCUUACAAUUUCCAGUGAAGGAAGCACUAUUGCAGCCACUGGCUGAUCUUCAAAUCCACCACCUUGAUCUAUUACAAGUCUUAGGCCUUCAAUAUGUAAUUUUGCAUGGUGGCCACUUACGAUAAUCGUUGGAGUUUUAGUCAGUUCCUGAGGGAUUUCCCAUACGUCCUUCCUUCCACUGAGGGAAGCAACUUUAGGAAUCCUCGUGUCCUUUGCUUUCAAGGUGUUAAUCUGCUGCUCAACAGAUUUGUUUUUCUCCAAGCCGGCAUGAACAGCAAUUAGUUUGCACCUUUUAAUUCCUUCCUCGGUUUUUAUGGUAACAUCGUCCUCUUCAUGGAUCCAAACCAAAUUGGCAAGGAAUUUCUUGUGUUCCUCAUGGUUCUGCUGAUCUUAUGAAGGCAGUUCCUGAUGAGCACAAGAAAUU